ACUUUUUACCAACUUUUCCAUUUUUUGUACUUUCUCUUAGAUAUUUUACAGCAUUGCUUUGUGGGGGAUUUUAUGCCCUAAAAUUCAUUUCUCUUCAUCUAGCAACCAUCUUCCACAAAAAGACGGUGGAUUCCCAUCCAACUUCGAUCAUUCGACUUGGAUGUUGAUCAACCCUCUUUUCUUACUUACCGACCAAGCUACCAUGAAAAUGAGUAGCUAAGUCUCCAUUUGUCAAGGUUAGAUGUAGGUGAUUUCCAAGCUUUGUGUGUAAAUGUAAGGAUCCUCAU
rnacentral:lncRNA from 1 species